UACGUAGGGUGCAAGCGUUGUCCGGAAUUAUUGGGCGUAAAGAGCUCGUAGGCGGUUUGUCGCGUCGACCGUGAAAACCCGUGGCUCAACUACGGGCUGGCGGUCGAUACGGGCAGGCUGGAGUUCGGUAGGGGAGACUGGAAUUCCUGGUGUAGCGGUGAAAUGCGCAGAUAUCAGGAGGAACACCGGUGGCGAAGGCGGUUCUCUGGGCAUUACCUGACGCUGAGGAGCGAAAGUGUGGGGAGCGAACAGG
rnacentral:rRNA from 1 species